CAGUCGAACGAACUCUGGUAUUGAUUGGUGCUUGCAUCAUGAUUUACAUUUGAGUGAGUGGCGAACUGGUGAGUAACACGUGGGAAACCUGCCCAGAAGCGGGGGAUAACACCUGGAAACAGAUGCUAAUACCGCAUAACAACUUGGACCGCAUGGUCCGAGUUUGAAAGAUGGCUUCGGCUAUCACUUUUGGAUGGUCCCGCGGCGUAUUAGCUAGAUGGUGAGGUAACGGCUCACCAUGGCAAUGAUACGUAGCCGACCUGAGAGGGUAAUCGGCCACAUUGGGACUGAGACACGGCCCAAACUCCUACGGGAGGCAGCAGUAGGGAAUCUUCCACAAUGGACGAAAGUCUGAUGGAGCAACGCCGCGUGAGUGAAGAAGGGUUUCGGCUCGUAAAACUCUGUUGUUAAAGAAGAACAUAUCUGAGAGUAACUGUUCAGGUAUUGACGGUAUUUAACCAGAAAGCCACGGCUAACUACGUGCCAGCAGCCGCGGUAAUACGUAGGUGGCAAGCGUUGUCCGGAUUUAUUGGGCGUAAAGCGAGCGCAGGCGGUUUUUUAAGUCUGAUGUGAAAGCCUUCGGCUCAACCGAAGAAGUGCAUCGGAAACUGGGAAACUUGAGUGCAGAAGAGGACAGUGGAACUCCAUGUGUAGCGGUGAAAUGCGUAGAUAUAUGGAAGAACACCAGUGGCGAAGGCGGCUGUCUGGUCUGUAACUGACGCUGAGGCUCGAAAGUAUGGGUAGCAAACAGGAUUAGAUACCCUGGUAGUCCAUACCGUAAACGAUGAAUGCUAAGUGUUGGAGGGUUUCCGCCCUUCAGUGCUGCAGCUAACGCAUUAAGCAUUCCGCCUGGGGAGUACGGCCGCAAGGCUGAAACUCAAAGGAAUUGACGGGGGCCCGCACAAGCGGUGGAGCAUGUGGUUUAAUUCGAAGCUACGCGAAGAACCUUACCAGGUCUUGACAUACUAUGCAAAUCUAAGAGAUUAGACGUUCCCUUCGGGGACAUGGAUACAGGUGGUGCAUGGUUGUCGUCAGCUCGUGUCGUGAGAUGUUGGGUUAAGUCCCGCAACGAGCGCAACCCUUAUUAUCAGUUGCCAGCAUUAAGUUGGGCACUCUGGUGAGACUGCCGGUGACAAACCGGAGGAAGGUGGGGAUGACGUCAAAUCAUCAUGCCCCUUAUGACCUGGGCUACACACGUGCUACAAUGGAUGGUACAACGAGUUGCGAACUCGCGAGAGUAAGCUAAUCUCUUAAAGCCAUUCUCAGUUCGGAUUGUAGGCUGCAACUCGCCUACAUGAAGUCGGAAUCGCUAGUAAUCGCGGAUCAGCAUGCCGCGGUGAAUACGUUCCCGGGCCUUGUACACACCGCCCGUCACACCAUGAGAGUUUGUAACACCCAAAGUCGGUGGGGUAACCUUUUAGGA
rnacentral:rRNA from 2 species